GUGGUCAGUUCGGCAGCGCAUGUACUGAAAAUGGUACGAUACAGAGAAGAUUAGCGUGGCCCCUGCAAAAGGAUGCCACGCAAAUCAUGCAGCGUUCCAUAUUUAC